rnacentral:lncRNA from 1 species
CGGCUUCCUCCUCCCAGUGUGCGAGGGAGGCCGGGAGGGGUCCCUGGGCGGGGAGUUGCUGCGCAUCUGUUGUGUGCUGUGUCUGCCUGUCUCUCUGUCUGGGUCUCUUUCAGGCUGCGUCGGUCUGUCUGUCUGGGUCUGUUUCAGGCUGUGUCUGUCUGUCUGUCUGGGUCUGUUUCAGGCUGUGUCUGUCUGUCUGUCCGGGUCUGUUUCAGGCUGUGUCUGUCUGUCUGUCCGGGUCUGUUUCAGGCUGUGUCUGUCUGUCUGUCCGGGUCUGUUUCAGGCUGUGUCUGUCUGUCUGUCCGGGUCUGUUUCAGGCUGUAUGUGUGUCUGCUCUUUGCUUCUGCUCCUGGCUCUGUGUGUAUUUCCCGGGUCCUGUGGCCCUCUUUGCCUUGUGUCUGAGUGUCGGUUCCUGCGUGGGCCUCAGUCAGGCCCUGGGUGGGUAGCUGCCCAGUGCAGCAUCCCCAAGGCACCCCUGG